GUGGAACUCUCAGGUCACAGAGAUUCAGGGUGGUCAGAGGCGGUUUGAUGUUUUGGGGAGAAAGAACAGCCGUGAAGGAUUCUGUGAUGCAGGAGAAGGUGGGAGGCCUCAGGACAGAAUCAGCAGGUCACCAUGCUUUCCUGCGUCAUCCACCUGUGGGCCUCUAAUGUGUUUCUAUGAAGUUUGCAUUAAAGUUUCAGCCACUAUUUUUCAGAAACAUGGUCAACCUCUCCUUCCCUCCUCUAUCUGCUGAUAGAGUUCUACAGAAAACAAGGGAAUGACUUGAGGAGGGGGAUUCUGAAGGUUGUUGGUGGAUUCCUAGAAUGUAGCCCGCAGAACUGUGCCUGGAACGAUACCGGAUCACUGCAAAAGUACAGCGAACAGGGUCGCUUUGAAUAUUAAAGGAGGACUUUUUCAAAGUGUAUAGAGAGCAGUCAAAAGAUCGCCACAGUUGCUCUGUGUUUUCGUGAGCCAGCUUUCUCGGAAGGACUAAGCCAGUGGAUCACAAACAUCCUGGAGAGCAGUGACUCUGUGAUUCCAUCACAAGAAUAUGAAGGACUGAGAAGAUCUCCAGCUCUGCCCAUUGCACCUUCCCAUUGAGAAGCAGCAUGGCACCCUGGUGGCAGGGGCUGAUACUCAGCCGGGCCAGGGUGCUCUCCUGUUAACCAUAACCAAGCUCACAGGACAUGGGAUGAGCCCACUGUGUGACACAGGGAGCGGGACACAGUCUGUUAAGUCUUGCACAGCCAUGCUCUGCCACGCAGGCAGGCCUUUCCUUGGCCUCCCUCUCCCUGUUCGUGCUCAUGUGAACAUCCACCUACGUGGAUAGACUGGGCUUUGGUUCAUUAUUGCUCUGUGAAUUCCUCGAACUUCCGCAUCUGCCCAACCUCCCCCACCCCAUUGUUUUCAUUGUGUUUCACCAAAUGGAAAUUCUAGAGUAAGCAUGUGAGUCCUCUCCCAAACUUGUUCACUGUUGAGAGUGCUAAAAUGCUAACCCCAGAUGCUAACUGAGGGGUAGGGUUACCUUAUCUUUAGAGCACUGCGAAUUGUAUGUUAAGUGGAACUUAAUGAAAAAAUAGUUAAUUGACCAACAUGAAUAUCCCCUGAACAGAAUCUCCCCUGAACAGAAUCCUACAAUGAAACUAAGGGAGAUAAAUAAAGCUGUUUACCUGAAAGCUCUCUCUAAUCAAGAUCCUUUGAAAUUUAUAAAACAUGGUCAAUAUUUGCACUGGACUUUGUAAAAAUAAAGCUUGAUAAGAGAAGAGUUUGAAGUGAAAUGCUGCCACUUUCUAUGCAAUAUUUGAUUUAAAUUUAAUUCCUAGAAACCUCAGAUGAAUGUGGUUCAUGUAUCAAAGCACUCAGCAUUAUUUAUCGCGGCCUUAAAUACACAGUGAGCUUACAUGUGAAUGAAUACAUAUAUUAUGUAUCUCUCUCUAUAUAUAUACUAUAUAGAUAAUAUAGUAUAUAUAUAUAUAUAGUGUAUAUAUACACUAUAUAUAUCGUGUAUACAUAUACUAUCUAUAUAGUAUAUAUGUAUAUGGUAUAUAUAUCUAUCUAUAGAUAGAUAGAUAGAUAUACUUAAAAAAACCCCAUUCCCUUAAGAGCAGUUAAGGGACACCAUAUAUCAAAUUUCUUGGCACGUUGUGAAUAUUAAUAUCCCCAAAGUGUCAAUGUCAAAUGAUUUGACUUGAAAUCACUAAGCUUGGUAAUCUCACUAUUUUUAAACAAGGCCUAACAUCUUUUAAUCUUGAAUACCAGCAAGUUCUCAGACUUCAGUUGUUUAUUUUCUCUUUUCUUUCCUUUAAAAAAUUCUGACAAGCUCUUUUCCUUGACACAAAGAAAGCGUAUAAAUUUUAUUUUGGUUUGAACAACAGAAAUUUGCCUCUCAGAAUUCUGGAGAUUGGAAAGUCUAAGGACUAAGCUGCUGGCCAAUUUAGUUCUUAGUGAGGACUCUCUUCCUGGCUUGUAGAUGGCUGCCUUCUCACUGCAUCCUCAGAGAGAGAGAGAGAGAGGGCUCUUGUGUCUCUUCCUUUCUCAUAAAGCGUCAGCUCUCUUGUAUUAGGGUCCCACCCAUAAUUACCCCCUUAUAUGCCCCAUCUACAAAUAGAGUCACAUUGUGGGUUAGAGCUUGGCAGUGAAUAAUUAUGGAGGUUAUUGUUGGCUUUAGAAUUUCGUGGUAGAAACAAU
rnacentral:lncRNA from 10 species